CUCUCUCACUUCGCAUUUCGCCGCCUACGCUCCUUGCCUCUCCCCCUCUCUCCCCUCGUCGCUCCGACCGCCGUCGCCCGCCCCACGGCGGCGCUGAACCGCGGCGGCGGCGGCGACCAAGGAGGGCAACCGCCGCCACCGCAAUCUACUCCGACGGCACGCGCCCACGCAUUUUCCCCGGCCGUCGUUUCGCUGCUGAUCUCCAUUUCACAAGAAUCAGAGAUCAACUCUGGAGUGCGCAAUCAUCGCUUCUGGCUCUCUUUGCAGGUCGAAUUUGUCGUGGGCUGAAUUAGUUCAUUGGACCACCUUCGCCUUUGCAUGGUGCCGGAAUGGAAAAUUGAGUUCUUGACUUGACUCUAGUUUCUUGGUAGUUCAAUCCCUGGGCCAGGGUAGGCGAAGAUGGAGUCUUUUGGUCCUGGGUUGCGCACAAGUUUGAAACUUCCGGUAAUCCGAAACACCCCAGAAUCGUUGUUCUUGCGGCUGCCUUCGUUUUGUUCUGGCCGUCUUGCUCGAACUAGCAAUUGCUUGUCACUGAGAACCCGGAACCGGUUGGCUUUUCGAGGUUCUUGUCUGAACGAUAGGUUAGAAUCUGGUGGUCGCGUGGAAAUAGCGGCGAGUCUGAGUUCUGAGGGUGAGGAUGUGAAACAUGGAGUGAAGAAGAAGAAGUUGGCGGUUUUUGUGUCUGGAGGGGGAUCGAACUUUCGGUCCAUCCAUGAGGCUUGUAUUGCAGGAUCAGUUCAUGGAGAAGUCGUUGUUUUAGUGACUAACAAAGGAGGCUGUGGAGGUGCAGUCUAUGCUAGAGACAAUGACAUCCCUGUUGUUUUAUUCCCUAGAACUAAAGAAGAACCAAAUGGACUAUUUGCAAGUGAUCUGGUGGCUGCUCUAAGGAGAUAUGAGGUUGAUUUCAUUCUCCUUGCCGGGUACCUGAAACUCAUACCUAUGGAAUUGAUUCAGGCAUAUCCCAAAUCAAUUCUUAAUAUCCAUCCAUCACUUCUUCCUGCUUUUGGAGGAAAGGGUUACUUUGGAAUGAAGGUGCACAAAGCAGUCAUUGCUUCUGGGGCUAGAUAUUCAGGGCCUACAAUUCACUUUGUUGAUGAGCAUUAUGACACGGGACGCAUUCUUGCUCAAAGAGUCGUCCCAGUGUUGGCUACUGACACUGCAGAGGAACUGGCUGCAAGGGUUCUCAAAGAGGAGCAUCGUUUAUAUGUGGAGGCAGUCGCCGCAAUAUGUCAAGGGAGAAUAGUUUGGAGGGAAGAUGGCGUUCCCCUCAUACAGAGCAUAGACGAUCCCAAUUUAUACAGUUAGUCAAACUAUUUAUCAGCUAUCGGUAUGGCCUAAACUUUAUUAUUGUGAUACAUAUUUCUCCUCAUCAGAAUAUACCUGCUCACAGCAAAAAGGAAGUUUGAGUUACUGAAGAAUUUUCUUGUUUUUGGGAGGCUGCCUGAUCUAUACUCUUUAUUCAUCUUGGAUUGUGAAGAGCUCAACUGUUUCAAUACCGUUGUGGCCUAAUCUGCAUACUAUAUGUGGGUGUAAUGGUGAGUUGAUGAUCCUUUAGCUUACUAGAAGUUACAGAACCAAGGUCUUAGCUCCGCAUUGUAUACUACAUGGGACAGAAAACCCAAUGCGUUCUGUGGCAGGUUCUUUUUUUUCUUCUGGUUCUAUGUUUCUUUUGCCAUUUUAUUCUUUGGCCAUAGUUGUGCACUAUUCUUCCUAUGGCUUAUGUAGAAAAGCUGGAGCUUUCAUCAAGUGUGGCCUCACUCAAUCAACUGAUGUUUCUAGUUUAAGUCC